rnacentral:lncRNA from 1 species
CCCCCCGGGGUCGGACUUUCGACACUUUUGUGACUGCGGGGUGCUACGAGGUGCUGCGUUCGCGGGUGGGUUCGGGUUCCCUCCUGUUACGGUCCUCCCGCGGGGGCCGGCUGCUUGCGGGUGGUGGGGAUGGGACAAAACCUCUUCCUCCGCGGCCUAAUGGCUCCGGGAAAAUAAAAUCGGUGGCUACUUGGGCCGAGCGCCGGACAGGGCCUCGGGCGCCUCGCCUCAGGCCGGUUCCGGGUGUCUGGUCAGUCUCAGGGCGUUUGGCGAUGGGAUUCUCGGGUCUUGUACUUAAGCUUUGAAAAUGGGAGACGUCACAGUUUUGCUUUUCCUGGAGACAAGGUCAGUUCCAAGGUCUUUAUUCUGGGGUACUGGAAGAGAGCCAGAACUUUGAAAUCGGGUUGCCUGGUCGAAUGUGGCCUCUGCUACUUGGUGACUUCUCCCAGUCCCUUAACCUUUCGGUGUUCUGCUAUUUUAGGGGAUAAUAAUAUCGUCUAACUUACUGGAUUGUUGUGAGGAGUAAAUGGCUUCAUUUGUGCAGAGGUGCUUAAAAUAGUACCAGGCACGGGGUAAUCUGCACAGUGUUUUAAGAUAGCUGUUAUUAUUACUGUUGCUAUUUCUAACUAGGACAGCACUUUCUCUGCGUUGAUUAGCCUUGGUACUGUCUGUUGUCUUUUGAAUCUUAAAGCUAUUUACCAGUUCUCUUUUAAUGACUGACUUCUGUAUUUUAGGAGGGGAAAUAAAACAUUCUGGAAAAGAUCCUAUCCCACAGCAA